rnacentral:rRNA from 1 species
CCUACGGGUGGCAGCAGUGAGGAAUAUUGGUCAAUGGGCGAAAGCUUGAACAACCAAAGUCCCUUGAGGGAUGACGGCCCUUUGGGUUGUAACCCUCUUUUUCCGGGGAGCAAGGCCCCCCACGUGUGCGGGAAGGAGAGUACCCGAAGAAAAAGCAUCGGCUAACUCCGUGCCAGCAGCCGCGGUAAUACGGAGGAUGCGAGCGUUAUCCGGAUUUAUUGGGUUUAAAGGGUGCGUAGGCGGACGGUUAAGUCAGCGGUAAAAUUGCGGUGCUCAACACCGGCGUGCCGUUGAAACUGGGCUUCUUGAGUGAGCGAGAAGUAUGCGGAAUGCGUGGUGUAGCGGGGAAAUGCAUAGAUAUCACGCAGAACUCCGAUUGCGAAGGCAGCGUACCGGCGCUCAACUGACGCUGAGGCACGAAAGCGUGGGUAUCGAACAGGAUUAGAUACCCUUGUAGUC